AUGGACUUUGGGCUGAGCUGGGUUAUCCUUGUGGCUAUUUUACAAGGUGUCCAGUGCGAGGUGCCGCUGGUGGAGUCUGGGGGAGGCUUGGUGCAGCCUGGGGGGUCUCUGCGACUCUCCUGUGCAGCCUCUGGAUUCACCUUCAGUAGUUAUGCCAUGAGCUCGGUCCGCCAGGCUCCAGGGAAGGGGCUGGAGUGGAUCUCAGGUAUUAGUAGUAGUGGUGGUAGCACAUACUAUGCAGACUCUGUGAAGGGCCGAUUCACCAUCUCCAGAGACAACUCCAAGAACACACUGUAUCUGCAAAUGAACAGCCUGAGAUCUGAGGACACGGCCGUGUAUUACUGCCUCCGGGGACCCAGGCCCAGUGAUUACUGCGGUAUAGACGCCUGGGGCCAAGGGAUCGAUGUCACCGUCUCCUCAGGGAGCCCGUCUGCCCCAAUUCUCUUCCCCCUGGUCUCCUGCGUGAACUCCCUGUCUGAUGAGAACCCAGUGGCCCUGGGCUGCCUGGCCCGGGACUUCUUGCCCAGCUCCAUCAGCUUCUCCUGGAGCUACAGUAACAGCACCAGCAUCAGCAGCCUGAACAUCCACAGCUUCCCGGCCGUCCUGCGGGAGGGCAAGUACGCGGCCUCCUCCCAGGUGCUCCUGCCUUUCUCAAGCAUCCCCCAGGGCUCCGAAGAGCACCUGCUGUGCAGCGUCAAGCACCCCAACGGCGACCUGUCAGUGCCUGUCACAGGGCCCAUAAAUACACAGCCACAGCCACCCAACGUGGUCGUCUUCAUGCCCCCCCGAGACGCUUUCUCCGGCAACCCCCAGCGCACGUCCAGGCUCAUCUGCCAGGCCACAGACUUCAGACCCAAGCAGAUCUCCUUUUCCUGGUUUCGUGACGGAAAGCGGGUGGUGUCUGGCAUCAGCGAAGGCCCAGUGGAGACUGUACAGUCCUCGUCCGUGACCUUCAGGACCUACAGCAUGCUGACCAUCACGGAGAGCGAGUGGCUCAGCCAGAGUGUGUUCACCUGUGAGGUGGACCACAGAGAGGGGACCGUCCAGAAGAACGUGUCCUCUGUGUGCGGCUCCCCCCUGCCCUCCCACAUCAGGAUCUUCACCAUCCCCCCGUCUUUCGCUGGCAUCUUCCUCACCAAGUCAGCCAAGCUUUCCUGCCUGGUAACAGACCUGACCACCUAUGACAGCCUGAGCAUCUCCUGGACCCGCCAGAAUGGCGAGGCCCUGCAGACCCACACCAAUGUCUCCGAGAGCCACGCCAAUGGCACAUUCAGCGCCGUGGGUGAGGCCUCUGUCUGCGUAGAGGAAUGGGAGUCUGGAGAAAGGUUCACGUGCACGGUGACCCACACAGACCUGCCCUCGCCACUGAAGCGCGACAUCUCCAGGCCCACAGAGGUCGCCAAGCACAUGCCGUCCGUGUACGUGCUGCCACCAACACGGGAACAGCUGAGCCUGCGGGAGUCCGCCUCCGUCACCUGCCUGGUGAAGGGCUUCUCGCCCGCGGACGUGUUCGUGCAGUGGCUGCAGAAGGGGCAGCCCAUGUCCUCCGACAAGUACGUGACCAGUGCCCCGGCGCCCGAGCCCCAGGUCCCUGGCGCCUACUUCGUGUACAGCAUCCUGACGGUGAGCGAAGAGGACUGGAACAGCGGGGAGACCUACACCUGCGUCGUGGGCCACGAGGCCCUGCCCCACAUGGUGACCGAGAGGACCGUGGACAAGUCCACCGAGGGCGAAGUGAGCGCCGAGGAAGAAGGCUUCGAGAACCUCAACACCAUGGCCUCCACCUUCAUCGUCCUCUUCCUCCUGGGCCUCUUCUACAGCACCACGGUCACCCUGUUCAAGGUGAAGUGACGGCCAGCCAAGGACAUGGGGGACCAGAGAUGGAACGAGAGGGGAGCCACCUUGGGGCCAGGGGGUCUGCAUGGCUUGUCCACUUGUACUGAAAUCUUCCCCGUGUCCCUCUCCAGCUUCGAGCUCUAAGAAACCGGCUUCUCCCGACGUGGCCAAAUGCCGUGGCCAAGCAUGGAGCCCGCAGCUGUGGGCUGUGCCCGGCCCUGCUUUGCAAUGUCUCGCUUGUGGCCUUGGA